CACGUAGGGCGCAAGCGUUUGUCCGGAAUUAUUGGGCGUAAAGAGCUCGUAGGCGGUUCGUCGCGUCGGCUGUGAAAUCCCGAGGCUCAACCUCGGGUCUGCAGUCGAUACGGGCGGACUGGAGUUCGGCAGGGGAGACUGGAAUUCCUGGUGUAGCGGUGAAAUGCGCAGAUAUCAGGAGGAACACCGGUGGCGAAGGCGGGUCUCUGGGCCGAUGACUGACGCUGAGGAGCGAAAGCGUGGGGAGCGAACAGG
rnacentral:rRNA from 1 species